UACGUAGGGUGCGAGCGUUGUUCGGAAUUACUGGGCGUAAAGCGCGCGUAGGCGGCUUUGCAAGUUAGAGGUGAAAGCCCGGAGCUCAACUCCGGAACUGCCUUUAAAACUGCAUCGCUUGAAUCCAGGAGAGGUGAGUGGAAUUCCGAGUGUAGAGGUGAAAUUCGUAGAUAUUCGGAAGAACACCAGUGGCGAAGGCGGCUCACUGGACUGGUAUUGACGCUGAGGUGCGAAAGCGUGGGGAGCAAACAGG
rnacentral:rRNA from 1 species